AUACGGAGGAUCCGAGCGUUAUCCGGAUUUAUUGGGUUUGAAGGGUGCGCAGGCGGCCAUUUAAGUCAGCGGUUAAAUCGUGGGGCUCAACCCCAUUCUGCCGUUGAUACUGGGUGGCUUGAUUGCGGUCGAGGUUGGCGGAAUUCGUUGUGUAGCGGUGAAAUGCAUAGAUAUGACGAAGAACACCGAUUGCGUAGGCAGCUGACCAGACCGCAAAUGACGCUCAUGCACGAAAGUGCGGGGAUCGAACAGGAUUAGAUACCCUGGUAGUCCGCACAGUAAACGAUGAAUACUUGUUUUCGGCGAUAUAACGUCGGAGGCAAAGCGAAAGCGAUAAGUAUUCCACCUGGGGAGUACGCCGGCAACGGUGAAACUCAAAUGAAUUGGCGGGG
rnacentral:rRNA from 1 species